UCAGUGGUGGAGAGCCAGACGCCCCAGCGCGGCGAGGGCGUGGCCGGGGCGGGGCGGGGCCUGGAUUCAGGUUAGGCGCUCCCGGUGACUAGCGCCGUGGAGCGGGAGGGAAAGUGCUUGAGGCUGGCGAGCCGCGUGGGGAGGGUCCCCGCGCUCGAGGCGGCGGGGCUGGCGGGAGCGAUCUGGGAGAGGCUCAGGCAUAGGUCACAGGCAGGGAAGAGCUCCUGCCCUUGAGCGAGAGGCCGGCUGGCUGGAGUCCUCACUGAGAAACUGGUGAAGCUAUUAAAACACCAGCCUUCCACAGAUACAAAGCUAGUUUGGAAGACACGCCUCAGAUCUGCAAUAAAGAGGGAAAUACUGAUCCACCCCUAAAUCAGACCAGCAUCUCUCUCAACCGCUGACCAGACGGACAGCUGCAGCCUCCAGGCCACAGAGCUGCCCCACCAAGCACCAUGCAGCCAAGUGCCAAUGAAAAGAUACCCACCAGCCUGCGGACCCCAGAAAGUGUACUCAGAGGAGCCUGAGCAUACGUUACCUGUCUGUUCUCCCAAAUUCACCAAACCAUACUUUGCUGGGAGUAGAAAACAGGUUGGAAGUUUUCUCCAGGGAUAUCCCUCCACGUGGAAACACAAAGAGCGGGAAUUAGGGCGCCAGCAUAUAGCAUGGACAUCUCAGACCCUGAGUCUGGCAAAGCCAAGGGAUGGAAGUGGUUUCACUUGGAGCACACUUGGCAUUUUACUGUACUGGACUUCUUAUGAGCAAAAUAACAAUUUAAAAAAAAAAAUCUUGGAAAGAAAAAAAGUGUAAAAAUCCAUCUGAAAAUUCACAGAUAGACUUUCUAGAGACAGCCAUGAGAAAAAAAUGUUUCUCUCUACUUGCACCCUACGAAUUCCAGCCUAUUCAAUAAAUUGGAUAAAGAAGA